rnacentral:rRNA from 1 species
CCUACGGGAGGCAGCAGUGGGGAAUAUUGGACAAUGGGCGCAAGCCUGAUCCAGCCAUACCGCGUGUGUGAAGAAGGCUUUCGGGUUGUAAAGCACUUUAAGUAAGGAGAAAAAGAUUGUAGUUAAUACCUGCAAUCCGUGAUGUUACUUACAGAAUAAGGACCGGCUAAUUCCGUGCCAGCAGCCGCGGUAAUACGGAAGGUCCAAGCGUUAAUCGGAAUUACUGGGCGUAAAGCGCGCGUAGGUGGUUUUUUAAGUUGGAUGUGAAAGCCCUGGGCUCAACCUAGGAACUGCAUCCAAAACUAGAUGACUAGAGUACGAAAGAGGGAAGUAGAAUUCACAGUGUAGCGGUGGAAUGCGUAGAUAUUGUGAAGAAUACCAAUGGCGAAGGCAGCUUCCUGGUUCUGUACUGACACUGAGGUGCGAAAGCGUGGGUAGCGAACAGGAUUAGAUACCCUGGUAGUCCACGCCGUAAACGAUGACAACUAGCUGUUGGGAGACAAGAUCUCUCAGUGGCGCAGCUAACGCUUUAAGUUGUCCGCCUGGGGAGUACGGCCGCAAGGUUAAAACUCAAAUGAAUUGACGG